rnacentral:rRNA from 1 species
AGCGAACGCUGGCGGCAGGCCUAACACAUGCAAGUCGAACGAACCUUUCGGGGUUAGUGGCGGACGGGUGAGUAACACGUGGGAACGUGCCUUUAGGUUCGGAAUAACUCAGGGAAACUUGUGCUAAUACCGAAUGUGCCCUUCGGGGGAAAGAUUAAUCGCCUUUAGAGCGGCCCGCGUCUGAUUAGCUAGUUGGUUGAGGUAAUGGCUCACCAAGGCGACGAUCAGUAGCUGGUCUGAGAGGAUGAUCAGCCACAUUGGGACUGUGUCACGGCCCGAACUCCGACGCAAUGCAGCAAUGCGGAGUAUGGGGUGAUGGGCUUAAGCUUGCAACAGCCUUCCCCCGUGAAAGAUGAAGGCGUUAGCAGGAUAAAAUUCUCUGGCCAACGCCGUGAAAGCCGGUACCGUAAGAAGAAGCCCCGCCUCAUUUCGUC